ensembl:lncRNA JUN-DT JUN divergent transcript
GGGUUUCCUGCAGCCAAAGAGCCAUGAGUCACAGCAGCUGGCUCAAGGCUGGGAGGGGAAGUAAAACACUAAAUCUAAGGACCACUCUAUUCACCCUACAGUGACUGCUCUUUUUCCCUCCUGCCACAGUCCAGGGUAGGAGAUACUUCUCCAGGCUCUCACUUAUGGGGGCUUUCCUGCUGGCUACAUCACUGAAAUGGAAUCUCCUAGUGGCCCUUCUCCCUCUACAGCUCUGGUGUUACACUGAAAAACUAGAAGUUUCAAAACAGACAAGGGAAAAAGAGAAACAUCAGAAAGUCUGAUUAAAGUAGAAGCAUCAUAUUUCUAUCAACGUAUCCACUGUGCUUGGACUCUGUAAUAUUCACCGGCAGGAAAACCCAAGGGAAUGACUACUAUGACAUCUGAUGGGUGGUUUUGCUGAUGAGACAGCUGCAGUUUGGGGAGUGUGAUAUCAAGGAAAGCAGUGUCUUGAGUCUGUCACUUUCUCUCUCUGUCCCAUUGGCAACAUGAAUUGGAGGCCAUUAUUUUAAGUGAAACAACUCAGACACAGAAAGAAAAAUACUGCAUCUUCUCACUUACAGACUGCCCCUGUUUCAGCCUCCAGGAGAGUCUGUGACAAGGAGUGGGCUCCCUCUGCAAGGUGCUUGGAUUCCUCUGAAGAAAGAAAGCAAGGAAACAUGAAGUAUGGUGAUGGUGGCAUUUUCAAGGGCGGGUGAUGAAUGGAAACUUCCUGACAUUUCAAGCGACAACAUCUGAAAGGAAAUGGAAUUUUCCUGAAGCACAGGCAGGAGGUCCCCGUCACAAGCUAUUGAUUUGGUGUGCACAUCUUGCAUUUAAUCUGGUGAUUAAUUUGGAGGGAGGCUGCAUGCAUGCUGUGCUUUCAUUUAGUGAGUUUAAAAGCCCACAACUUCUGAUUUAUUUUGCUUCAUUCAUGAGGAGCUGUUUUAUUGCAAAGGGUUGAAUGACAGGUUUCCUGGCAGGCUGUAAAGACAGGUAAAAUUUAAAUAAGGAACAUAAAAUCUUUGAAGAC